GAAUAGUGGAGAAUUUGGCGGGGGGAGAGGGGAGCCCUGUGAGGGGUCUGUGGGGGUCAGAGAGGUCCCUGGGGCAGGCGGUCUCUUGGGAGUGGGCCUUUUGGGGAUGAGGGGGACCAGGCAGGAUCUGCUGCUGGAGCUCGGGGAGGUCACUGAGCUGGGGGCAGUGCUGGUGUCUGGGUCCUGGGUCUCCUGCAGGCAGCAGUCAGUGAAGCUGGGAGGGGUUCUCUGGUUUGGAGGGAGCCCGCUGGGCUGCGUGGGUGUGCAGGAACAGCCUGGGGUGGAAAUGCUGGCGUGAAGCCUGUGGCAGGGGAAUAUUGAGGGGAAGGAAGGGUCCCCUGCCAUAGAGAGCGGGGGCUCCAACACUUCAGUGUAUAUAGGUAGCCUAUAUAAUGAGAGUGGGGUCUCUUUGUCCUCUCUGUGAGGCAGUUCCAGAGAUGCUGGACUCAGGAAAAUGGGGACAUGGCCUGAAGCAGGGAGUUCUGGGGAGAGAAAGACCACUGGCGAGAGUUGGUAGUACCUUGGUGGCUGGGAAUAAGAGCUAGUGCUUUCUGAGAAGAACAGGGAAUUUGAUGGGGAGAAGAACCAGGUUCAUUUUGUCAGAGGUGGCACAGGUGGCGGUGGAAAGCUGCCAUCCUUCACCAUGCCACUUCAGUGAUAGGAGAGAUACCUGUUGGGGCUUUGAAAAGGGAGACAGCCAUCUUCUGUUCUGCCAUGCCUGCCAACCUAAGCCAUUGCCAUGCUGUUACCUGCACACUUUCCAGCAAGAACAUGAGGCUCCUGAUUCUUGCUGUUUGCCCUAUUCUACAUGGCCCACUGUGAAGAAGGGGCCAGGCUCCUGGCCUCCAAAUCACUAUUAAACGGAUAUGCUGUGGAGGACUGGACUCUGCAGUACAUCAUCUACACUGCUGACUCCAGUGCUGCCUUAGAUAUGGAGCUGUCGGAUGAUUCUUUCCACCCCCCACCCCCCUCCGGCCCAAGGAUUUUGGCACUGUCUUUGUGAUGUUCGAUGUCAAGUGGCUCCAGAUUGCUCGGUAUCUUCUCAUGUUUUGAAAUUUCUCCCCUCCCAGCGCUCGUUCUUACCCCUAAGUGUCCUGUCACUCUGCUGUCCUCGUUCAUUGUCACUGAGAUUCCAGUAUGCCAGACCUUGGGUGGGGUGUUGUGGGGAAGGAGGAGUGGCUGGAUCCAGCUUGGAUGGGUCUGGAUAUCUGUAACUACAGAGGCUGGGAUCUGUUGACAGGACUGACUUUGCUACCUGGUUCAAUUCUCUUCUUUACCCACCUUCUUGCUUUCCUUUGAUGAAAUGCAACUAUUUUCCUUAAGUUUCAGAUCUCGGAGUGAGUAAUGUGUCCCACACUGUGGUUCUGCAGCCUCUUGAAGCUGCUUACUUCACCUCUGCCACCAUUGCAUACCUGGCACAGGAGGGUGGAGAGGUGAUUGUGAGUGAUUUGAUUUGACUUUUUAUGCAGUUAUAGCCCACGUUGGACAACAGCUGGACUGGGCGGCUUUUGGCGUGAUGACCCUGCCCUCCAUCGGGAUGGUGCUGCUGUGAUACUUGAGCAAGAGAAAGUAUGACACCCCUGAGACCAAAAGGAAGUGAGCAAAGCCAAAUGCUACCAGCACCCCAGAGCUCAGGAGAGAGCAAACAUUAACCCACCCAGAACUGCAGGUGUGUUUGGAUCAGCAACAGUCUGCAAAAGCACUGCCUGGGCUGUGCUUCAGCCCUGUCACUUCAACGGUAGUGGUGUGUUGCCUUCUCCCUUAAAAAAAAAGAAGAAAAAACACUGAAAAGCCUGCAACCAAACCCCCUCGUCUGCGUAUUCAGAGCAGAGUCUCCUCACUGUUGCAGAUAAGUGCUGGUGAAGCUGUGACACGAACAUGUUAACACCCAGCAGAGCUUAUUUGUGGGGGUGCAGCUCUGCAGCAUUUCUGGCAUCUGUGCUGCCUCCCAGACUCCGUUCAGCCAAGUGGACCUCUGUCUGCUGCAGUCUUCUCAAACCCUGUAAAUCUUGGGGGCCCCCCUCCUCCAGGUGCUGCCCAUCUUGCUGAAACACCUGUGGGAAGGAGUUUUACUGAGUGCUGAUAACAGACCUCCUUUUGAUAGAGGCUUGUUAGAGCUCUUUCUUUGCUAGGUGGGGUAUGGGAAGCCCCGUUGUAUUUCAGUGAGCAGUUAAUUGCUGUGUGUCUGGUUGUUUGGGUUUGGUUUUUUUUUCUCCCUGGUUGCUCUGUUGAGGCUUUGUAAUAAAACAAACACCACAAAAGAAGCCUGCUUCUCUUUUACCAGGAGGUCCUGGAGGCACCUGGCUGCCUCCAGAAGCAGCUAAAGGGCAUACAGUCAGGAAAAUAAAUCCAUACAUUACUCCAUCAGUAAAAUAAAUGGAAGAAUGAAAGCAUAGGGAACAUGUGGGGAGCAGAAAUCGCUUUACUGGGUUCAUUCAUCUGUUCUCCGAAGGGCUGGUACCUCACAGUGGCUUUCCUGACAGCCCCAAGCACUAGUAUAAGGUUUCUUCUCACCACUGUAAAUAAAUCAUAGUGCAGCUGCCUGUUGGGCAUGAA